CAUAGAGCACAUACUAGUUUUUCCUCUCAAAUCAAAUUCUUGGAAAGGAGAAAUCAAAGGGAAAUUAAUAAGGGUUUAACUAUUUGGUGGAUUUCAAGGAAUCACCAUCAUCUUCUUCAUCUUUUCUUCAAGAAUAUCAAAUUUUGGUUUUGGAUAGACGUGGAGACUAGACUGCUCAUUUUCUCGGACUACUCAUACUUUUAGCUCUUUGAUCGCUAAGGUAACCAACAGUAAGUCUUGGAUCAUCUUGUCAUUAUA